CAGCCAAACAAAUUGGCUAGCCUCCGUGAAUUUCGCCGAUUAAUUCUGGAUUUCUGUCAUUUGUCGCGGCUUUGUUGGUAAUUGUCGGAUCAAAAUCAACGCGUCGGAAAUUAGUUUUAAUCCGUGUGAAGAUACUCGUAUAAUGAUAUAUUUUCCGAAUAAAAGUGCGAUCGUUUUUCAAUUACGAAAGUUACGAAUUAACAUCGAGCUCCGUGUCGGAAACCAACAAUAUCAUACCGACUGGAGCCCGACAUCGGGCAACUUCACGGAGGUAGAGCGCCUCACGGUUCUAUAUUCCGUCCACCGUAGUUCGUUCUUAUUCAACCAACAACACACCAACAACCAUGAGAAGAAAGCGUCGUCGCGUCGUGUGCAAUGGACCUGUUCUUUUUCAAGCACUCCCCUCAUAUGGCCAGCACGUGUUUAUUUUUUUACGUUUUCGGAUUAACAAUUAGGUUACAUCAGGGUCUCGAACCCAUUGAAUGAAUACCAUGCUUGGAAUUGAAGAAAUAAAAAGCACGAACACCGA